rfam:Myotis davidii contig11595, whole genome shotgun sequence.
GCCAUUGUGGCUCAGUUGUUAGAGCGUUGGCCCAUACACGGAAGGAUCAUGGGUUCAAUUCCCAGCAAGGGCA